rnacentral:snRNA from 1 species
GUGCUUGUUUCAACAACACAUAUGCUAAAAUUGGAAUGAUACAGAGAAAACUAGCAUGGCCCAUGAGUAAGGAUGACAUGUAAAUUUGUGAAGUGUUCCAUAAAAUA